rnacentral:rRNA from 1 species
GAGCGUACACGGUGGAUGCCUUGGCAACUAGAGGCGAUGAAAGACGUUGUAGCCUGCGAUAAGCUACGGUGAGGUGGCAAACAACCUUUGACCCGUAGAUUUCUGAAUGGGGAAACCCCACCCAAUAGGGUGAUCAUGUUGUGAAUACAUAGCAGCAUGAGGCGAACCCGGUGAACUGAAACAUCUCAGUAACCGGAGGAAAGGACAUCAACCGAGACUUCGCUAGUAGCGGCGAGCGAACGCGAACCAGGCCAGUGGCUUAUGCAUAAGAACCGGAACGAUCUGGAAAGGUCGGCCAUAGUGGGUGAUAGCCCCGUACGGGUAGAAAAUGCAUAAGUCCUCGAGUAGGGCGGGACACGUGAAAUCCUGUCUGAACAUGGGGGGACCACCCUCCAAGCCUAAGUACUCCUUGACGACCGAUAGUGUACCAGUACCGUGAGGGAAAGGUGAAAAGCACCCCGACGAGGGGAGUGAAACAGUACCUGAAACCGAACGCCUACAAUCAGUUGGAGGCCCCUUGAGGGCUGACAGCGUACCUUUUGUAUAAUGGGUCAGCGACUUAUAUUCAGUGGCGAGCUUAACCGUCUAGGGGAGGCGUAGGGAAACCGAGUCUUAAUAGGGCGUUUAGUUGCUGGUAAUAGACCCGAAACCCGGCGAUCUAUCCAUGAGCAGGUUGAAGGUUGAGUAACAUC